rnacentral:lncRNA from 1 species
UGCGAUUGCGGCACUUAGGGUGCGAACAUCACACUGAGUGAAAAUUAUCCCUGCAUUAAAAAGCAAAUCAGUGCUCCUUUCCUGGCUCUAAGUGGAUUGUUGUAUUUUAAGAAUUAAUUUUAUUUAUUUAUUUAUGGCAGGCACACAUACCACAGCACAACAUGUGGAAGUCAGAGGACAACUGUCUGGAGCUAGUUCUGUCCUACCAUGUGGGUCCAGGGGAUUCAAUUUAGAUCAUCAGCUUGGCUACAAGUUCCUUUAUGCAUUGAGCCACCUCAGUAUCCAGGAAUAUAUGUUUAUUGCAGUAAAUUGGUAAAAGACAGAAAAGCAUGAAAGAAAAAAACCCCAGGUUUUCCAUUAUCUCCAGAGAGAACCAUGAUUAAUAUUAGAGUGUACUCUUCUCUGUGUCUUCUGGCGCCUGCACACAUACUUGGAACUCAGGGUACUGUUUGCUGAGUGUCUAUGCAUUAUCAUGGUCCAGCAAACUGAAGAGGCCAGCAGUAUCAGCAGCCAGACACUGAGAACACUCAGUGGUGAAUUUAAGAAAAACAACUUUCUGGAUACCAGGGUUUAGUUCUUGCCAUGGUGUCCUGAUCUGCCCAUCAUGAGCUAGAGAAUCGGGACUGGUCUGGAGAAGUGCUGUCUAAAUAGACAACAGGAUACCUACCAUGGUGUUGACUAAACAAGCGACACCGUCAUCUGGUGAAACUUAAAACAUGAAGAACCCCCUUAGAGAAACAUCGAAGGGCUGACAGGCAGCUCAGCGUGGAUAGGAGCCUGCCUGGCAAGCCUGUUAUCGGAGUUCAAUCUCUGGAACCUGUGCAAAGGUGGACAUAGAGAACUGACUCCACAAGCUGUCUUUGACCUCCACACCCAUGUUGUAGGUAUAUACACACAAUAUCAAGGAACAAAAAUUUUCCAGGUAAUAGUGACACACACCUUUAAUUCCAGCACUUGAGAGGCAGAGCAGGUGGAUCUCAGUGAAUUUAAGGCCAACCUGGUCUACAGAGUUGAGUUUCAGGAUAACCAGGACUACAUAGAGAGACCUGGCCUUGAAAAACCUACAUACAUACAUACAUACAUACAUACAUACAUACAUACAUACAUACAUAUUUGAAAAAGAGAACAUCAAGGAAAAUAGACCAACUUUCAUCAGUGUUUCUGGUGCGUCUGAGCACAAAAGCCAUACAUACAUCAGUUAUUGAUGGUUUUUAACCCCUGGAGUUUAAGCUGGUAUUCCAGAAUUGAAGAUUCUGAACGGUGAGCUGUUCUAACAUAGGUGGGUGCUCAUGUGUGUAAUCAAAAGCCUGAUCUAGCGUUCUGUAACAACCCCAAACAUUGUGGAAGAAGCAAAGACAGCAUAGUGAUAUGGGACUUAAAGCUUCCUCAAGGUGACCCAGGUGACACGGCUGGUGUGCAAGGGAGACUGCCGAAGUUGGAACAGGAGCUGACCCAAAAAGCUCUGUAUGAUGACUAUCCCAACAGUCAUAGACAGAAGGCUAGACAGGUAGAGACAGGAGCUGACUCAUGGAGACCUGAGAACUUUAGCUAGCUGAGUAUGCCUGGCAGUUGUAAGCUACAGCACUGGAUGACUUUGGGUAGGAGCUGCUUUAUGAGAAAUCAGUGAAGUUAGCCGGCCACCUGUGAGCACCCAGGGCCUUCAGAAGCAGCGACAGCUGACAGAGAUCUGGAAGUGUACUAUUGCAGUCUGGGCUCUGGGUUCUGGGCUUGCCAGAGGCAGAGGAAGCUUCAGUAAGGGACUAAACCAAGGCAAAAGAUGCUGAGAGUCCUUGUCAUCAUCAUGUGCCUUCCAUUGUAGGGCCUCGCAUAGGAAGCUGCCCUGCAGCUAGCUUUUUGUUUGGUUGGUUUUAGGGUUUGGGUUUUUGACUUAUUUUCAAGACAGGGUUUCUCUGUGUAGCCCUGGCUGUCCUGGAACUCACUCUGUAGAGCAGGCUGUCCUGGAACUCAGAGAUCUGCCUGCCUCUGCCUCCCAAGUGCUGGGAUUAAAGGUGUACACCACUACCUCCCGGCUCACCCAGCAGCUUUUUCUUGUUUUUUGUUUUUUGUUUUUUGUUUUUUUUUUGGGAAUAUGGAUAAAAGUAAUAUUCCUGGAUUUGGGGAAAAUGUGGUUAGAUAACCUGAGACUUAUACCAGUCCCAAAUCUCAAGUCAGCCUGGCCAACCAUGGUGGGCUCAUAUCUGUAAUUUCGGAGGUGAAGGCAGGAGGAUUGUUUUGAGUUUCAGGCCAGCCUGGCCUACAUAGUGAGUUUUAGUCCAGCCUGAGCUACAGAGUGAACCCAUGUCUCAACCUGGGAAAAAAAGG